rnacentral:rRNA from 1 species
GCUUAUGGCCAUACCACCUUAGGCACGCCCGAUCUCGUCUGAUCUUGGAAGCUAAGCAGGGUCGGGCCUGGUUAGUACUUGGAUGGGUGACCGGCUGGGAAUACCAGGUGCUGUAAGCA